rnacentral:rRNA from 1 species
AUUGAACGCUGGCGGCAUGCCUUACACAUGCAAGUCGAACGGCAGCGCGGGGCAACCUGGCGGCGAGUGGCGAACGGGUGAGUAAUAUAUCGGAACGUGCCCUGGAGUGGGGGAUAACGUAGCGAAAGUUACGCUAAUACCGCAUACGAUCCAAGGAUGAAAGCAGGGGGACCUUCGGGCCUUGUGCUCCUGGAGCGGCCGAUAUCUGAUUAGCUAGUUGGUGGGGUAAAAGCCUACCAAGGCGACGAUCAGUAGCUGGUCUGAGAGGACGACCAGCCACACUGGAACUGAGACACGGUCCAGACUCCUACGGGAGGCAGCAGUGGGGAAUUUUGGACAAUGGGGGGCAACCCUGAUCCAGCAAUGCCGCGUGUGUGAAGAAGGCCUUCGGGUUG